rnacentral:rRNA from 1 species
GUGCCUUCGGGAACCGUGAGACAGGUGCUGCAUGGCUGUCGUCAGCUCGUGUUGUGAAAUGUUGGGUUAAGUCCCGCAACGAGCGCAACCCUUAUCCUUUGUUGCCAGCGGUCAGGCCGGGAACUCAAAGGAGACUGCCAGUGAUAAACUGGAGGAAGGUGGGGAUGACGUCAAGUCAUCAUGGCCCUUACGACCAGGGCUACACACGUGCUACAAUGGCGCAUACAAAGAGAAGCGACCUCGCGAGAGCAAGCGGACCUCAUAAAGUGCGUCGUAGUCCGGAUUGGAGUCUGCAACUCGACUCCAUGAAGUCGGAAUCGCUAGUAAUCGUGGAUCAGAAUGCCACGGUGAAUACGUUCCCGGGCCUUGUACACACCGCCCGUCACACCAUGGGAGUGGGUUGCAAAAGAAGUAGGUAGCUUAACCUUCGGGAGGGCGCUUACCACUUUGUGAUUCAUGACUGGGGUGAAGUCGUAACAAGGUAACCGUAGGGGAACCUGCGGUUGGAUCACCUCCUUA